AGUCGAACGAAGCACUUUAACCUGAUUCUUCGGAUGAAGGUUUUUGUGACUGAGUGGCGGACGGGUGAGUAACGCGUGGGUAACCUGCCUCAUACAGGGGGAUAACAGUUAGAAAUGACUGCUAAUACCGCAUAAGACCACGGAGCCGCAUGGCUCAGUGGGAAAAACUCCGGUGGUAUGAGAUGGACCCGCGUCUGAUUAGGUAGUUGGUGGGGUAACGGCCUACCAAGCCAACGAUCAGUAGCCGACCUGAGAGGGUGACCGGCCACAUUGGGACUGAGACACGGCCCAAACUCCUACGGGAGGCAGCAGUGGGGAAUAUUGCACAAUGGGGGAAACCCUGAUGCAGCGACGCCGCGUGAGCGAAGAAGUAUUUCGGUAUGUAAAGCUCUAUCAGCAGGGAAGAAAAUGACGGUACCUGACUAAGAAGCACCGGCUAAAUACGUGCCAGCAGCCGCGGUAAUACGUAUGGUGCAAGCGUUAUCCGGAUUUACUGGGUGUAAAGGGAGCGUAGACGGCUGUGUAAGUCUGAAGUGAAAGCCCGGGGCUCAACCCCGGGACUGCUUUGGAAACUAUGCAGCUAGAGUGUCGGAGAGGUAAGUGGAAUUCCCAGUGUAGCGGUGAAAUGCGUAGAUAUUGGGAGGAACACCAGUGGCGAAGGCGGCUUACUGGACGAUGACUGACGUUGAGGCUCGAAAGCGUGGGGAGCAAACAGGAUUAGAUACCCUGGUAGUCCACGCCGUAAACGAUGACUACUAGGUGUCGGGGAGCAAAGCUCUUCGGUGCCGCAGCAAACGCAAUAAGUAGUCCACCUGGGGAGUACGUUCGCAAG
rnacentral:rRNA from 1 species